AUUGAACGCUGGCGGCAUGCCUAACACAUGCAAGUCGAACGGCAGCGCGAGUAGGGGUAACCUUACUUGGCGGCGAGUGGCGGACGGGUGAGUAAUAUGUAGGAAUCUACCUAGAGGUGGGGGAUAACUUGGGGAAACUCAAGCUAAUACCACAUAAGCCCUACGGGGGAAAGCAGGGGACCGCAAGGCCUUGCGCCUUA
rnacentral:rRNA from 1 species